GCCAAGGUCGCUUAGCCCGGUUGAGCGUCAGCCUGCAGAGUUGAUUUGCGGGGGUUCAAAUCCCUCCCUUGGCU
rnacentral:tRNA from 1 species